rnacentral:rRNA from 1 species
UUUUAUGGAGAGUUUGAUCCUGGCUCAGGAUGAACGCUGGCGGCGUGCCUAAUACAUGCAAGUCGAGCGAACGGACGAGAAGCUUGCUUCUCUGAUGUUAGCGGCGGACGGGUGAGUAACACGUGGAUAACCUACCUAUAAGACUGGGAUAACUUCGGGAAACCGGAGCUAAUACCGGAUAAUA